CGGUUAACAACUUAUAUUUUCAAAAUGAAAUUCUCAAGAAUUACAUAUUUGGUUGCGAUGUUUAUUGUGGUAAUUGCUUUGGUUCAUAAUAAUAAUAAAGCAGAUGCUGCAGCUGGCAAUUUUCAAAAAUGCUUCAAAAAUUGCAUAGCCAAUUGCAAUCCAAAGGUUUCACCAUGUGAGAGAGGGUGUCGAUACAAGUGCUCGCUUGGCCCACCA
rnacentral:lncRNA from 1 species